UACGUAGGCAGCAAGCGUUGUUCGGAGUUACUGGGCGUAAAGGGUGUGUAGGCGGUUGCUUAAGUUUGGUGUGAAAUCUCCCGGCUCAACUGGGAGGGUGCGCCGAAUACUGAGUGACUAGAGUGCGGGAGAGGAAAGUGGAAUUCCUGGUGUAGCGGUGAAAUGCGUAGAUAUCAGGAGGAACAUCGGUGGUGUAGACGGCUUUCUGGCCCAUUACUGACGUUCAGGUACGAAAGCGUGGGUAGCAAACAGG
rnacentral:rRNA from 1 species